GACGUAGGGGACGAGCGUUGUCCGGAUUCAUUGGGCGUAAAGCGCGCGUAGGCGGUUACGCAAGUCGGUUGUGAAAAUCCGGGGCUCAACCCCGGACCUGCAUCCGAUACUGCGUGACUAGAGGUAGGUAGGGGAGAUCGGAAUUCCUGGUGUAGCGGUGAAAUGCGCAGAUAUCAGGAGGAACACCGGUGGCGAAGGCGGAUCUCUGGGGCCUUACCUGACGCUCAGGCGCGAAAGCUAGGGGAGCGAACAGG
rnacentral:rRNA from 1 species